GCACAGAGUCGGACAUGACUGAAGUGACUUAGCAGCAGCAGCAGCAACAGCAGCAUGGACCUAAUUGUAAAAGCUAGAACAUCAUAACUUUUUAAAAAUAAACAUGGAAGCAUAUAUUUAUGAUCUUUGAACAGGUAGAGGUUUCUUGGAGUGAAAGAAAAAGCCACAGAAAAAAGAUACCUUGAAUGUCACCAAAUAAUACCUCUACUCAGCAAAAGAAAAUUAAAAGUUUAACUACAAUAUGGGAGAAAAUGUUUACAGUAUAUAUUUUACAAUAAACUUGAUCCAGGGUAAAUAAGGAAAAAGCCAAUAAUAAAAUCACAAGCAAGUUUUAUACAAUGAGGCAGAAGAUCUGAACACUUCACCAGGAAGAAUGUAUGGAUGGUGAAUAUGAACAUGAAAAAGAACUUGAUAUCAUUAGUUAACCAGAGAAAUGCAAAUUAAAACCAUAAUGUAAUACCACUUUCUUGUUGCAUCAACAGAUGCUGUUGACAGUGUGAAGUCAUACAACUCAUGUAUUGCUCUGGGAAGUAGGUGAACCACAAAUAUCUAACUGUUUUCCACAUGAAGAUGUAUCUGUCCCAGAGCUGAACAUGCACCUGGAGCCAGAGGACUCUAAGGAGCUGGUUUUGAAGAAGAAGCUUUGCCUCCUUUUCCCUGCCUACUUUUGGUUCUUGGGAAUGUGGCUUGGACCAGAGUCACCUACAUUCAGCCCCAAAAAGCUAUUUUGAAAUGUGAAAUACAGACCUAACCCCACAAUUAUGUAGAGCAGGCGAUGACCUGCAUUCUGUGGUUUCGAGAGAAAUCUGGAUUUGGAUUCCUUUACUGUUU
rnacentral:lncRNA from 1 species